rnacentral:tRNA from 1 species
GCCUUGUUAGCUCAGUUGGUAGAGCAUGCGGCUGUUAACCGCAGGGUCGUAGGUUCGAGUCCUACACAAGGCG